rnacentral:rRNA from 1 species
UACGAAGGGUGCAAGCGUUACUCGGAAUUACUGGGCGUAAAGCGUGCGUAGGCGGUUCGUUAAGUCUGAUGUGAAAUCCCCGGGCUCAACCUGGGGCGUGCAUUGGAAACUGGCGAUCUAGAGUACGGUAGAGGGUGGUGGAAUUCCCGGUGUAGCAGUGAAAUGCGUAGAGAUCGGGAGGAACACUCGUGGCGAAGGCGGCCACCUGGACCAGUACUGACGCUGAGGCACGAAAGCGUGGGGAGCAAACACG